UGCAAGUCGAACGGCAGCACGGACUUCGGUCUGGUGGCGAGUGGCGAACGGGUGAGUAAUGUAUCGGAACGUGCCCAGUAGCGGGGGAUAACUACGCGAAAGCGUAGCUAAUACCGCAUACGCCCUACGGGGGAAAGCAGGGGAUCGCAAGACCUUGCACUAUUGGAGCGGCCGAUAUCGGAUUAGCUAGUUGGUGGGGUAACGGCUCACCAAGGCGACGAUCCGUAGCUGGUUUGAGAGGACGACCAGCCACACUGAGACUGAGACACGGCCCAGACUCCUACGGGAGGCAGCAGUGGGGAAUUUUGGACAAUGGGGGAAACCCUGAUCCAGCCAUCCCGCGUGUGCGAUGAAGGCCUUCGGGUUGUAAAGCACUUUUGGCAGGAAAGAAACGUCAUGGGCUAAUACCCCGUGAAACUGACGGUACCUGCAGAAUAAGCACCGGCUAACUACGUGCCAGCAGCCGCGGUAAUACGUAGGGUGCAAGCGUUAAUCGGAAUUACUGGGCGUAAAGCGUGCGCAGGCGGUUCGGAAAGAAAGAUGUGAAAUCCCAGAGCUUAACUUUGGAACUGCAUUUUUAACUACCGGGCUAGAGUGUGUCAGAGGGAGGUGGAAUUCCGCGUGUAGCAGUGAAAUGCGUAGAUAUGCGGAGGAACACCGAUGGCGAAGGCAGCCUCCUGGGAUAACACUGACGCUCAUGCACGAAAGCGUGGGGAACAAACAGGAUUAGAUACCCUGGUAGUCCACGCCCUAAACGAUGUCAACUAGCUGUUGGGGCCUUCGGGCCUUGGUAGCGCAGCUAACGCGUGAAGUU
rnacentral:rRNA from 1 species